rnacentral:tRNA from 1 species
GCCGGAGUGGUGGAACUGGUAGACGCGCUGGACUCAAAAUCCAGUGCCUUCACGGGCGUGUCGGUUCGAUUCCGACCUCCGGCACCA